rnacentral:rRNA from 1 species
AUGAACGCUGGCGGCGUGCCUAAUACAUGCAAGUCGAGCGAACGGACGAGAAGCUUGCUUCUCUGAUGUUAGCGGCGGACGGGUGAGUAACACGUGGAUAACCUACCUAUAAGACUGGGAUAACUUCGGGAAACCGGAGCUAAUACCGGAUAAUAUUUUGAACCGCAUGGUUCAAAAGUGAAAGACGGUCUUGCUGUCACUUAUAGAUGGAUCCGCGCUGCAUUAGCUAGUUGGUAAGGUAACGGCUUACCAAGGCAACGAUGCAUAGCCGACCUGAGAGGGUGAUCGGCCACACUGGAACUGGGACGCGGUCCAGACUCCUACGGGAGGCAGCAGUAGGGAAUCUUCCGCAAUGGGCGAAAGCCUGACGGAGCAACGCCGCGUGAGUGAUGAAGGUCUUCGGAUCGUAAAACUCUGUUAUUAGGGAAGAACAUAUGUGUAAGUAACUGUGCACAUCUUGACGGUACCUAAUCAGAAAGCCACGGCUAACUACGUG